rnacentral:rRNA from 1 species
AACGAACGCUGGCGGCAUGCUUUACACAUGCAAGUCGAACGGUAACAGGCCGCAAGGUGCUGACGAGUGGCGAACGGGUGAGUAAUGCAUCGGAACGUGCCCAGUCGUGGGGGAUAACUGCUCGAAAGAGCAGCUAAUACCGCAUACGAUCUAUGGAUGAAAGCGGGGGACCGUAAGGCCUCGCGCGAUUGGAGCGGCCGAUGUCAGAUUAGGUAGUUGGUGGGGUAAAGGCUCACCAAGCCAACGAUCUGUAGCUGGUCUGAGAGGACGACCAGCCACACUGGGACUGAGACACGGCCCAGACUCCUCCGGGAGGCAGCAGUGGGGAAUUUUGGACAAUGGGGGCAACCCUGAUCCAGCAAUGCCGCGUGCAGGAAGAAGGCCUUCGGGUUGUAAACUGCUUUUGUACGGAACGAAACGGUCUGGGUUAAUACCCUGGGCUAAUGACGGUACCGUAAGAAUAAGCACCGGCUAACUACGUGCCAGCCGCCGCAGUAACAC